UGCCACUUAUUUAAUCAAGAAUUAUGGGAGGAGUAUAAGAAUAUUGCUUGGGCAUGCAGGGAUGACAUCAGAAAGGCCAAAGAGCAACUGGGGUUGCAACUAGCAAGGGACAUGAAGGGUAACAAGGAGGGUUUCUACAAGCAUGUAAGCAACAAGAGGAAGAUUAGGGAAAGUGUGGGGCAUCCUUACUAAAUGGUGGAGGCAACUAAGUGACAGAUGAUACAGAAAAAGCUGAAGUACUCAAUGCCCUUUUCACCUCAGCCUUCACAGGCAA